rnacentral:rRNA from 1 species
ACUCCUACGGGAGGCAGCAGUAGGGAAGUCUUCCACAAUGGGCGCGAAGCCUGAUGGAGCAACACCGCGUGAGUGAAGAAGGGUUUCGGCUCGUAAAGCUCUGUUGUUAAAGAAGAACACGUAUGAGAGUAACUGUUCAUACGUUGACGGUAUUUAACCAGAAAGUCACGGCUAACUACGUGCCAGCAGCCGCGGUAAUACGUAGGUGGCAAGCGUUAUCCGGAUUUAUUGGGCGUAAAGAGAGUGCAGGCGGUUUUCUAAGUCUGAUGUGAAAGCCUUCGGCUUAACCGGGAGAAGUGCAUCGGAAACUGGAUAACUUGAGUGCAGAAGAGGGUAGUGGAACUCCAUGUGUAGCGGUGGAAUGCGUAGAUAUAUGGAAGAACACCAGUGGCGAAGGCGGCUACCUGGUCUGCAACUGACGCUGAGACUCGAAAGCAUGGGUAGCGAACAGGAUUAGAUACCCCGUGGUAGGAUAGCG